UACGUAGGGGGCAAGCGUUGUCCGGAAUCAUUGGGCGUAAAGAGCGCGUAGGCGGCCCUGUAAGUCCGCUGUGAAAGUCAAGGGCUCAACCCUUGAAUGCCGGUGGAUACUGCAGGGCUAGAGUCCGGAAGAGGCGAGUGGAAUUCCUGGUGUAGCGGUGAAAUGCGCAGAUAUCAGGAGGAACACCGAUGGCGAAGGCAGCUCGCUGGGACGGUACUGACGCUGAGGAGCGAAAGCCAGGGGAGCAAACGGG
rnacentral:rRNA from 1 species